ACGGCUCAGUAACACGUGGCUAACCUACCCUCAGGACGAGGACAACCCCGGGAAACUGGGACUAAUACUCGAUAGGCGAGGAGGCCUGGAAUGGUUUCUCACCUAAAGGGCUUUGGAAACAUGCUUUCAAUGUCGCCUGAGGAUGGGGCCGCGUCCGAUCAGGUUGUUGGUGAGGUAAUGGCUCACCAAGCCUAUAACCGGUACGGGCCGUGAGAGCGGUAGCCCGGAGAUGGGUACUGAGACAAGGACCCAGGCCCUACGGGGCGCAGCAGUCGCGAAAACUCCGCAAUGCACGAAAGUGUGACGGGGCUACCCCGAGUGCCGUCCGCUGAGGAUGGCUUUUCCUUGGUGUAACUAGCCGGGGGAAUAAGGAGAGGGCAAGACUGGUGUCAGCCGCCGCGGUAAUACCAGCUCUCCGAGUGGUAGGGAUGAUUAUUGGGCUUAAAGCGUCCGUAGCCGGCUUAGCAAGUUUCCUGUUAAAUUCAGCGACCUAAUCGUUGAGCCGCGGGAAAUACUACUAGGCUAGGAGGCGGGAGAGGUCGACGGUACUUCUGGGGUAGGGGUGAAAUCCUAUAAUCCCGGGAGGACCACCAGUGGCGAAGGCUGUCGACUAGAACGCGCUCGACGGUGAGGGACGAAAGCUGGGGGAGCGAACCGGAUUAGAUACCCGGGUAGUCCCAGCUGUAAACGAUGCGGGCUAGGUGUUGGGGUGGCUACGUGCCACUUCAGUGCCGCAGGGAAGCCAUUAAGCCCGCCGCCUGGGGAGUACGGCCGCAAGGCUGAAACUUAAAGGAAUUGGCGGGGGAGCAC
rnacentral:rRNA from 1 species